GUAUGUUGCUUUCCUGGCUGUAUCUACUCUUUCAUGCAUUCAACAUUUACUGAGUUUGAAUUCUUUUAACAGGAUAUUGUGCUAAACAUUAAGGGUACAGAGGGUAAAACAAAUCCUUGCAUUUAAUGACCAAAUAGAAGAAGGGCUGAUAGGCACAUACAGAAAUAAGUACAGGAUAAGAUAGUAACUAUUUCUCAAACUAAGGCAGGUCUCUUUUGGGGUGGUAGUGAAGUAGUAGAUGCUCUAAGAUACACUCGAUGCAUCCUGUUGUCACUUAAGUUGUAUACAGUGGUAUGUGAUUUGAUAUACUUAGAUUUUACAAUAUAAUGGAUUUUAUCAAGUGCAAUGCAGAAAAAUCACUUGAACUAGUGUUAGUGAGGACAGUUACUUCCAGCUAUGUCCCUUUUUUUUUUUUUGUCUGAGAGAUAGUGUAGUAAGCCUAUUGAUGUGGAAUAUGAUUAGGAUACUAAAGAAAGAGGAGUUUCUACUAGAUUUUGGAAUAAUUUCUCAUAUAUUGACAAAAAAAUUUUUUUCUGUUUUUGAGACUGGGUGUCACUCCCUCACCAGGCUGGAGUGCAGUGGUGCAAACAUGGCUUACUGCAGCCUCGACCUCCUGGGCUCAAGCAGUCCUCCUGCUUCAGCCUCCUGAGUAGCUAGGAUCACAGGGACACACUGCCACCAUGCAUGGCUAAUUUUUAAAAUUUUUGUAGAGUUGGGGUUUCACCACAUUGCCUGAGGUGGUUGAAACUCCUGGGCUCAGGCAAUCCUCCUGCCUCGGCCUACCAAAUAGCUGAGAUUGCAGGCAUGAGCCACUGCACCCAGCCUAACAAACUCCUCUCUGACUUAACAGCUUAGCUUGUUCUUGUCAUAUGCACAUUUUCUAUCAUUUAUUUUAAAGAAAAGUUAUUUGCUAAAACCCAUAAUGUUCUCCUUCUACUUAUCUGUCAACCCAUCUCUUAUCUUUAUUAUGUAAUUUUUUUUUUUUUUGAGACGGAAUCUCACUCAGUUACACGAUCUUGGCUCACUACCUCCUGGGUUCAAGUGAUUCUCCUUCCUAAGCCUCCCGAGUAGCUGAGACUACAGGCACGUGCCACCAUGUCAGGCUAAUUUUUCUAUUUUUAGUAGAGGCAGGGUUUUGCCAUGUUGGCCAGGCUGGUCUCGAACUCCUGACCUCAGGUGAUCUGCCGGCCUCGGCCUCCCAUAGUGCUGGAAUUACAGGUGUGAGCCACUGCUCCCGGCCAUCUCUUAUCUUUAAUAACCUUUCGGAGUCUCUCCUCUAUGACUUGCUUUGUUUGAACUUGCUGAUUUUUUGUUGUUUUUUUGAGACAGAGUCUCGCUGUGUCCC
rnacentral:lncRNA from 1 species